rnacentral:lncRNA from 1 species
AACUAGUAUGCUUAUCUCCCAUUAAUUAUAACAAGAGCAAAUUAGAUUUAGACUCCGUUUAAAAUUACGAAAAGAUUGCAUUAAUUACGUACUGUGAGAAAGUAUGUGUAAUAUCGUGUUCUGCAUAUCGUAGAAGCAUAUCUUUAUAUAUUUUCGUCUCAACUAUUUUAUCUAUAAGCAUUUAUACGACAAAUAACCACUUAAU